rnacentral:rRNA from 1 species
GUGCCUAGACCAGCGAGAUCCGUAGGCGUUGUGAUUGCCGGAAAAAGUUGCUUCGGCGGGAGGCCGUCCCCUGUUUUAUAGGGCUCCCGGCCCGGACCGGACCCCCUGUGGGGCCCUUACUCGGCGCCCGCCGGAGGAUAACCAAACGCUAUUUUAACGACGUUUCUUCUGAGUGGCAUAAGCAAAAUAAUCAAAACUUUUAACAACGGAUCUCUUGGUUCUGGCAUCGAUGAAGAACGCAGCGAAAUGCGAUAAGUAAUGUGAAUUGCAGAAUUCAGUGAAUCAUCGAAUCUUUGAACGCACAUUGCGCCCGCCAGCAUUCUGGCGGGCAUGCCUGUUCGAGCGUCAUUUCAACCCUCAAGCUCUGCUUGGUGUUGGGGCUCUACGGUCGACGUAGGCCCUCAAAGGUAGUGGCGGACCCUCCCGGAGCCUCCUUUGCGUAGUAACAUUUCGUCUCGCACUGGGAUCCGGAGGGACUCUUGCCGUAAAACCCCCCAAUUUUUCAAGGUUGACCUCGGAUCAGGUAGGAAUACCCGCUGAACUUAAGCAUAUCAAUAAGCGGAGGAAACC